UAUAGUCAAAGCAAGAAAAGAAUAGUCUUGAUUUGGUGUCUAACUUCCCGCCUCCUGAUAAAAUCUUAUGGGGACGUGACAUUAGACACCAAAUCGAGACUACUCUUUUCUUGGUUCAACUAUAGAGUGCAAACACAAGUCUUUCAUUACUGUUGGGCGUUUUAGCCUGUCAUAUAAUAGUAUUAUUACCGUGCGUUAGCACGCCUCGCAUUGUCUUUAUUUGCCCGGGCCGUAGAUGGGAGCGCUAAAGGGCCGAUUAGUGACACGGUGGAUAGGGCUCUUGAUAGUUUUUAGAAAAAAGGAAAAAUUUUCACAAUGUUAUUCUCUUUCGAGUACACUCGGCGUCAUUAAUGCCUGGUCCAUCAAAAACUUUAAUACUAUCCGAGCAAUUAUCGAUGGAGUAGUUUUGAUUUUCAAACAGAGAUUCAACAUCUAAAUCAAUUUAGAAAGUUCAUGAUUUAAUACCCUUUUAGAUAGUCCCUAUCUAUAACAAUAGAAUAUCCCGACUAAAAAAUUUUUAAACCUUAAUUUAAAUAAGAAACUAUUGAUUAGAAUAAAAUGAAUGAAAGAAAUAUUUACAUUGUAAAUAGAAGUUUAAUAGAACCGGAGAAACCGGUAUUUUCUAAAGAAGAUACACAUUAGUAUGUUAUUUUAAUAUUUAUUUGAUUAAUCCAUCACCUUAUAAGCUAUUUGUAUUAUGUGGGUACAAAAUAUAUACAAGAGUGAAAAUAGAAAAGAAAAUAGAAAUGAAGGAGAAAAUAGAUAAAUAUGUAAAGCUGCUGAUUGUUGAUUAUAUUUUCGUUAAUAUAUGCUCUCUUAAACAGAAUCAGUGAAAACUACUGCAAUUCAGUGAAUAUUCACUGAUUGCCAGUAUCAAUCAUAUUAUGGAAAGAAUCAGUCAUUGGAUUGGCACUGGAUAUCAGUGAAUAUUCACUGAAUUGCAGUAGUUUUCACUGAUUUAGUUUAAGAGAGUGAAAACUGCUGUCUGGCAGACUUUCAAUUUGGUUUGGGGGUGAGAGGAGGUCAAAAUAGGAAAAAGACAGAUUGCAGGUAGAAGAAGGUGUCAAAUAUAUUAAAGAAUGUUGUUAUACUUACAGAGAAAUACUUUUUAUGCAAUUAAAUGAUAUAUUUAAAAA